AACGAACGCUGGCGGCAUGCCUAACACAUGCAAGUCGAACGAUGCCUCCGGGCAUAGUGGCGCACGGGUGCGUAACGCGUGGGAAUCUGCCCUUGGGUUCGGAAUAUCUCGCCGAAAGGCGAGCUAAUACCGGAUGAUGACGUAAGUCCAAAGAUUUAUCGCCCAAGGAUGAGCCCGCGUAGGAUUAGCUAGUUGGUGGGGUAAAGGCCCACCAAGGCGACGAUCCUUAGCUGGUCUGGGAGUAUGAUCAGCCACACUGGGACUGAGACACGGCCCAGACUCCUACGGGAGGCAGCAGUGGGGAAUAUUGGACAAUGGGCGAAAGCCUAAUCCAGCAAUGCCGCGUGAGUGAUGAAGGCCUUAGGGUUGUAAAGCUCUUUUACCCGGGAUGAUAAUGACAGUACCGGGAGAAUAAGCGCCGGCUAACUCCGUG
rnacentral:rRNA from 1 species